rnacentral:rRNA from 1 species
AUUGAACGCUGGCGGCAGGCCUAACACAUGCAAGUCGAACGGUAACAGGAAGAAGCUUGCUUCUUUGCUGACGAGUGGCGGACGGGUGAGUAAUGUCUGGGAAACUGCCUGAUGGAGGGGGAUAACUACUGGAAACGGUAGCUAAUACCGCAUAACGUCGCAAGACCAAAGAGGGGGACCUUCGGGCCUCUCGCCAUCGGAUGUGCCCAGAUGGGAUUAGCUAGUAGGUGGGGUAACGGCUCACCUAGGCGACGAUCCCUAGCUGGUCUGAGAGGAUGACCAGCCACACUGGAACUGAGACACGGUCCAGACUCCUACGGGAGGCAGCAGUGGGGAAUAUUGCACAAUGGGCGCAAGCCUGAUGCAGCCAUGCCGCGUGUAUGAAGAAGGCCUUCGGGUUGUAAAGUACUUUCAGCGGGGAGGAAGGGAGUAAAGUUAAUACCUUGGCUCAUUGACGUUACCCGCAGAAGAAGCACCGGCUAACUCCGUG